rnacentral:rRNA from 1 species
CAGUCGCGCGGGAAUACGUAGGGUGCAAGCGUUAAUCGGAAUUACUGGGCGUAAAGCGUGCGCAGGCGGUUAUAUAAGACAGAUGUGAAAUCCCCGGGCUCAACCUGGGAACUGCAUUUGUGACUGUAUAGCUAGAGUACGGCAGAGGGGGAUGGAAUUCCGCGUGUAGCAGUGAAAUGCGUAGAUAUGCGGAGGAACACCGAUGGCGAAGGCAAUCCCCUGGGCCUGUACUGACGCUCAUGCACGAAAGCGUGGGGAGCAAACAGGAUUAGAUACCCCGGUAGUCCCUGUCUCUUAUACA